rnacentral:lncRNA from 1 species
CAAUACCCGGUGAAAGUAAUCUACUUCCUUUGUUUUCCCCAGCGGAUUCGUUUUCACGUUUCCCUAGGCGGUCUAUCCUUGAUAUGUUCAUCUUAAUUGAUGACAGAUAUUCUCCCUUUUUGGUUUUCUACCCAGUAAAAAGGUAGUUGUAAUCUCUAUUUCAUUCCCCAUAGAGUUAAUCAUUGAUAUGUUCAUUCUAACCGAUGACAUGUUUUCUCCUCUUUAUGGUCUUCUGCCCAGUAACCGAUAAUUG